UUUGUCGGCUGUGCUGAGAUGUUGAAUGUCAGCCGUUGGAUUAAAGGUAAUCCAACGUCUCAGAAAGAAGCCCUAGUUAAUCCUAAGCUGAGAGUGUGGCUACUUAAGUUGAAGCAGGCCGCUCCUCUCACCCUCGGGCAUUUGUUCUCCGUUCUAUACAGCUUCUGGUCGAUCGAAUCUCAUUUAUGUCUAGCAUACAGUGUGUUUUACGCCUUUACCUCUAUAUGGAAAUAUGGGCAUGAAAACUUAUUAUUCAAUGGCUGUGCUGCAUUUGUUUAUUUCAUCCAAAGAGAGGUCUCUGGGAAGUGAGCAUGGACGCAACUAUGGGAAAAUUGAGAGGUAAAGAAUCCUAGUGGUGUCACUACAAUCUUCUUUUUCCACCAAUUGUCGUUUUCCGGCUCGAAUCAUAAUGAGAAUCCGAAGCAUUGUAGAUGCUAAAAGAGAUGAGACAUGGUUCAUUUCCUGCAACAUGAAAGCUGUGAAUUUCAAUGCCUAGUGAACCUUGUCUAUUUAUACAGCAAACCCUCUGUGUAUAAAUAUACCAGGCAACAAUAGCAUCUGAAAGGAAACGCCGGCCGUUCCCUGCAGCUCCCCUGACCACUUCAUUGGGGCUACUUUAAGACCCUUAACUGCGGAGUUUUUGUCUCACUGAAGGGUUUGGGGGAACUCUGGGAGAUAGUUGACACUGCUCAGCACCAAAUACUGUUGGAGGCUUAUUUUCAUGUCUAGCCAAGCUUUCCUGGUACACAAUGUAAUGUUCUUUAAUGAUUAUUUUAUGCAACUUGACGUCGCUUGAUGAAACAAAUGCUCUAUUUUGGCAACUCAAGCAGGCAAUAAUGGCCAUUGGAGUAGCAAGGGCAGUAGAAGACUUUCACAGCCGUGUCCGGUCGUUCAUUCAUUGGGACCUCCAAGCUUUCAACCAUUAUUAUGUUAGCCAUGAAAGUACAGGAUGGCCUAUUAGAAGUGAAAAAAAUCUGCUGUUGCAGCAAAUAAAUGGACAUAGCAGAAGAGAAUAUUACAUUCGUAAAUGGAUCCCUUAGCUGUCUCUAUUUGGAGUCCUAUUUUAUUGGAUCAUUAUGAAAUCUUAUUAACUAAACAAUGAUUUUGAGA